rnacentral:rRNA from 1 species
UAUGGAGAGUUUGAUCCUGGCUCAGGACGAACGCUGGCGGCGUGCCUAAUACAUGCAAGUCGAGCGCAGGAAGCUAACUGAUCCCCUUCGGGGGUGACGUUAGUGGAAUGAGCGGCGGACGGGUGAGUAACACGUGGGCAACCUGCCUGUAAGACCGGAAUAACCCCGGGAAACCGGGGCUAAUGCCGGGUAAUCUCCUCCCUCGCAUGAGGGAAGAGUAAAAGAUGGCUUUCUGAGCUAUCGCUUACAGAUGGGCCCGCGGCGCAUUAGCUAGUUGGUGAGGUAACGGCUCACCAAGGCGACGAUGCGUAGCCGACCUGAGAGGGUGAUCGGCCACACUGGGACUGAGACACGGCCCAGACUCCUACGGGAGGCAGCAGUAGGGAAUCUUCCGCAAUGGACGAAAGUCUGACGGAGCAACGCCGCGUGAACGAUGAAGGUCUUCGGAUCGUAAAGUUCUGUUGCGAGGGAAGAACAAGUACCGUGCGAAUAGAGCGGUACCUUGACGGUACCUCGCGAGAAAGCCCCGGCUAACUACGUGCCAGCAGCCGCGGUAAUACGUAGGGGGCAAGCGUUGUCCGGAAUUAUUGGGCGUAAAGCGCGCGCAGGCGGUUCCUUAAGUCUGAUGUGAAAGCCCACGGCUCAACCGUGGAGGGUCAUUGGAAACUGGGGAACUUGAGGACAGAAGAGGAGAGUGGAAUUCCACGUGUAGCGGUGAAAUGCGUAGAUAUGUGGAGGAACACCAGUGGCGAAGGCGACUCUCUGGUCUGUUUCUGACGCUGAGGUGCGAAAGCGUGGGUAGCAAACAGGAUUAGAUACCCUGGUAGUCCACGCCGUAAACGAUGAGUGCUAGGUGUUAGGGGGCUUCCACCCCUUAGUGCUGAAGUUAACGCAUUAAGCACUCCGCCUGGGGAGUACGGCCGCAAGGCUGAAACUCAAAGGAAUUGACGGGGGCCCGCACAAGCGGUGGAGCAUGUGGUUUAAUUCGAAGCAACGCGAAGAACCUUACCAGGUCUUGACAUCCUUGGACCACCCUAGAGAUAGGGUCUUCCCUUCGGGGACCAAGUGACAGGUGGUGCAUGGUUGUCGUCAGCUCGUGUCGUGAGAUGUUGGGUUAAGUCCCGCAACGAGCGCAACCCCUAAUCUUAGUUGCCAGCAUUGAGUUGGGCACUCUAAGGUGACUGCCGGUGACAAACCGGAGGAAGGCGGGGAUGACGUCAAAUCAUCAUGCCCCUUAUGACCUGGGCUACACACGUGCUACAAUGGAUGGUACAAAGGGCAGCGAAGCCGCGAGGUGUAGCAAAUCCCAUAAAACCAUUCUCAGUUCGGAUUGCAGGCUGCAACUCGCCUGCAUGAAGCCGGAAUCGCUAGUAAUCGCGGAUCAGAAUGCCGCGGUGAAUACGUUCCCGGGCCUUGUACACACCGCCCGUCACACCACGAGAGUUGGCAACACCCGAAGUCGGUGAGGUAACCUUUAUGGAGCCAGCCGCCGAAGGUGGGGCCAAUGAUUGGGGUGAAGUCGUAACAAGGUAGCCGUAUCGGAAGGUGCGGCUGGAUCACCUCCUUU